AACGAACGCUGGCGGCAUGCCUAACACAUGCAAGUCGAACGAGACCUUCGGGUCUAGUGGCGCACGGGUGCGUAACGCGUGGUAACCUGCCCUUAGGUUCGGAAUACCUCCCCGAAAGGGGUGCUAAUACCGGAUAAUGUCUUCGGACCAAAGAUUUAUCGCCUUUGGAUGGGCCCGCGUUGGAUUAGCUAGUUGGUAGGGUAAAAGCCUACCAAGAGGACGAUCCAUAGCUGGUCUGAGAGGAUGAUCAGCCACACUGGGACUGAGACACGGCCCAGACUCCUACGGGAGGCAGCAGUGGGGAAUAUUGGACAAUGGGCGAAAGCCUGAUCCAGCAAUGCCGCGUGAGUGAUGAAGGCCUUAGGGUUGUAAAGCUCUUUUACCCGGGAUGAUAAUGACCGUACCGGGAGAAUAAGCUCCGGCUAACUCCGUG
rnacentral:rRNA from 1 species